rnacentral:rRNA from 1 species
GAUGAACGCUGGCGGCGUGCCUAAUACAUGCAAGUCGAGCGAACGGACGAGAAGCUUGCUUCUCUGAUGUUAGCGGCGGACGGGUGAGUAACACGUGGAUAACCUACCUAUAAGACUGGGAUAACUUCGGGAAACCGGAGCUAAUACCGGAUAAUAUUUUGAACCGCAUGGUUCAAAAGUGAAAGACGUUCUUGCUGUCACUUAUAGAUGGAUCCGCGCUGCAUUAGCUAGUUGGUAAGGUAACGGCUUACCAAGGCAACGAUGCAUAGCCGACCUGAGAGGGUGAUCAGCCACACUGGAACUGAGACACGGUCCAGACUCCUACGGGAGGCAGCAGUAGGGAAUCUUCCGCAAUGGGCGAAAGCCUGACGGAGCAACGCCGCGUGAGUGAUGAAGGUCUUCGGAUCGUAAAACUCUGUUAUUAGGGAAGAACAUAUGUGUAAGUAACUGUGCACAUCUUGACGGUACCUAAUCAGAAAGCCACGGCUAACUACGUG